rnacentral:misc_RNA from 1 species
AUGCUCGAGCUGCUCGCGCGGCGAGAGCGGGCCGCCGCGUGCCGGCCGGGGGACGGACCGGGAACGGCCCCUCGGGGGCCUUCCCCGGGCGUCGAACAACCGACUCAGAACUGAAUCCAAGCUAGCAACCGGCGCCUCUGCUCGCCGCCCGCCCCGACCCACGUUAGGGCGUUCGCGCCCCAAGGGCCCGUGCCAUUGGCUCAGCCCGCCCGGCCGACGCGCCGCGGCGGGCCGCCUCGAAGCUCCCUUCCCAACGGGCGGCGUGCUGAAUCCUUUGCAGACGACUUAAAACGCGACGGGGCAUUGCAGAACUCCCCGAAGUCCUGGGAGGGGGUCUCCUCGGCCGAGCCCCGCACCCCCUCGCGGCCUAGCCGUGGCCGGUCGGCACCCUACCGCGCCCAGCUCCGGCUGGCGCUGUUGGCUGCCUGGCCGGCCGUGGUUCGGCCGUGA